GUGCUUGAUUCACAGCACAUACACUAAAAUUGGAACGAUACAGAGAAGAUUAGCAUGGCCCCUGCACAAGGAUGACAUGCAAAUUCAUGAAGUAUACCAUAUAUUU
ensembl:snRNA U6 U6 spliceosomal RNA